GUUGACCUCGGAUCAGGUAGGGAUACCCGCUGAACUUAAGCAUAUCAAUAAGCGGAGGAAAAGAAACCAACAGGGAUUGCCCUAGU
rnacentral:rRNA from 1 species